GACAUUCAAAUCGUUUAUUCUCUCCUGGAUAAACGUAGCUGGCAAGAUGCACCUUCUUAACGUUGCAGUGGUUGUAGUCUUGGUCUUCCUUGGGUCCGCCCUUGCUGGCCAUGGUGGUGGUGGUGGCGGCGGCCAUGGAGGCGGAGGCCAUGGAGGUGGAGGCCAUGGUGGUGGAGGCCAUGGUGGUGGUGGUGGUGGUGGUCACGGAGGUGGUGGUCACGGAGGCGGAGGACACGGAGGUGGCGGCCAUGGAGGUGGUCAUGGAGGUGGUGGUCAUGGAGGUGGAGGCCAUGGAGGUGGUGGUCAUGGAGGCGGACACCACGGGUAAAACAUCCGAGGAUCAUCAUAUUGCCAUCAGAUGCUGGACAUUUGAUAUCGUAUUGGUCGAUUCCACUCACUGUGAUGUAUCCACCCAAUCUGUAUAUUCCUCAUUGAAUACAAAUAAAGCUUUGAGUUAUAUUGUAA
rnacentral:lncRNA from 1 species